UGCCUAACACAUGCAAGUCGAGCGAGAAAGUUCCUUCGGGAAUUAGUAAAGUGGCGCACGGGUGAGUAACACGUGGGUAAUCUACCCUUUAAUUCGGGACAACCCUUCGAAAGAAGGGCUAAUACCGGAGAGACCACAAGGACAUAAGUUCUAGGGGUUAAAGGUGGGGACCGUAAGGCCUAUCGUUAAAGGAUGAGCUCGCGAACUAUUAGCUAGUUGGUAGGGUAAUGGCCUACCAAGGCUGAGAUGGUUAGCUGGUCUGAGAGGAUGAUCAGCCACACUGGAACUGAGACACGGUCCAGACUCCUACGGGAGGCAGCAGUGGGGAAUUUUGCACAAUGGGCGCAAGCCUGAUACAGCAAUGCCGCGUGAGUGAUGAAGGCUUUCGGGUUGUAUUCUC
rnacentral:rRNA from 1 species